UUUUAUUGCCAGCCAACACCAUAGCUGCAGAACUGUUCAUGUCUUUAAUGAUUACAUAUCAGGAAAAGUGAACUGGUCAUUUUGUGUUGGUAUAUGUAUGGAAGAAGCAGCUGCCAUGACUGGACAGCUUUCUGGCUUCACUACUCAGGUCAGAGAGGUUACUUCUGAAUAUGAGUAUACACACUGUGUCGUCCAUAGAGAAAUGCUGGCUACCUGAAAAAUGUCAUCUAAGCUUAAUAAUGUUUUACAGAAUGUGAUUGAAAUAUCAACAUAUCCAUAAAGUACAUGCUGUUAAUGUCUGUUUGUGAAGCUCUGUGAGGAGGUGGAUGCAGAGCACAUGUGUUUCCCCUUAUACCCAGAAGUGAGGUGGGUUUCUAAAGGUAGAUCACUGGCUGUGGUUUCUGAAUUAGGGAGAGUUACUCCAGAGAUUUCUUUUAGAAAAACAGUCACCACUGGUAACACACUUCAGUGACAUAGAAUGAACUUAAUCGUGUGACACUAGCAUAUUCAACUUGCUCAAUGAUGUCAGUCUGUCACUUCAGAGGAGAAUGAAACUGUGUUCAAGUCAGCGAUAAAGUAGCUGCAUUCAAAGCCAACCUGGAAUUGUGGAUAUGAUGAGUGAACCUUGGGAUUUUUGACGUUUCAACAUUAGCAGAGAUUUUGAAAGAGACUGAGCCAGGGCCUUCUUUCUCCCAGCUGGGUGCACGAUCACUUAUCUCAGCUUUCAAAAUAGUAUGAGCAUUACUUCCUAACUGGCAAAAGACUCUGAACUGGAAGGAAUGGGUCCAGCAACUCAUUUGUGAAUAAGCCAGGGUGGACGGACUUUGUUCAUGCUGGAAGAGGAUUGAUUUGCAUGAAAUAAAAAAUGAAUGUGGCCUUCAAAGUGUGUUUGAGACAACUUCAAAUCUCCAUGCCUUUUGGAUUAAAGUCAAGGAGGAAUAUCCCGAGACUGCCACAAGAUCACUGAAAAGCCUGCUUCCAUUUCCAACAUCCUAUCUUUGUGAAGCAGGGUUUUCUUCAGUGACAGCAACCAAAAUGAGAUUACAGAGUAGACUGGAUAUCAACAACACACAGCAGGUGUCACUGUAUACCAUCACCCCCAGACGAGGGGCAUCUAGUUGAUGGAAAACAAGCUCAGGGCUUUCACGGACUCUGGCAUUAUGGUUGAGUCGUAAUUAUUGUAUUAUAUAUUACAGUGUUAUAAAAAUAGAAGUAAAGUGCACAAUAAAUGUGAUGUGCUUGAAUCAUCCCCAAACCAUCUUACCCCACGUCAUGGAAAAAUUAUCUUCCAUGAAACUGGUUCCUGGUGCCGAAAAAGGUUGGGAACCAGUGGUUUGGAGGAUCAUAAAGCAAGCAAGGAGGGGAAUUUAGAGCUGUGAGGCAAUAAGCUGGUAGCUAGCAGAGGUGUGUAUGACCUGUGUCUCCACUUGUCAGCUUCUCUGUCUGAACUACCACCAGACAUCUGCUCAUCAAUAUCGCGUUUCUUACGGAAAUGCAAGGAACCAAGCACAAAGGUCCAGGAAACAGAAGUGGCUCCAGGUCCGGCAGAGGCCAGGUUUUCAUUCCCCUAACUUCUGCUAAGGUAGCAUAAUACUUUCUUAGCAGUUUGCUUCUGGGUACCAGCAAGCACAGACCCGUCCAUGCCUCCCUAUUCAUGCCUUUCAGUUCAGGACGAGGUAGCUAAAGAAGCUCAUUCAUGCAUGACAUAAAUCGUGUCAGGUCUACACGGAUCAAGUCAGGUCAUGGCAGAUGAACUAAAAGCACAAGAAACACAUCUGUGACAUCACCCUUCUUUAAGAGAGCCACACCCACCUGGCCUGCCCCAUGCAGCCAGACUGACUUUAGAGAGGGAAAUGGAAGGAUGUGUCUGGCUAUUCUCAAGGUGAAAAUUAGGAUGCAUAAUUACAGAGGAGCAGGAGAGGGGGCGCUCAGGGAGGGAGAGGACAGAAUCACCAUAGUCUGAAACAUUUGCAGACCUCUCUGUUCCUACUAGUUAGUGCUGGGAAGGUGAGGUCCAGUCAGAAAGGCUGGGAAGUGGAUGGUCCCUGCUGAGAGGCCCUGGAAGGCAUUUAUAAGAGAAUGAGCUGCCCCUCUGGUGUUCUCUGUUGACUUUAUCUCAACCUCUACACUGUAGACUUGGGGAUUGGAUCAUUCUUUGUGGGAAGGGCAAUCUCUUUACUGUAGGGUGUUUAGCAGCAGCCUCAGCCUCUACCUGCUAGUGUUCUACUAUUUAGGAUAAUAAGAAAUGCCUCCGUACAUUGGCACAUGUCCUCUGGGGCUAGCACUGUCACUCUUGGCUUAGAUACUGAGCUAAGCCCAAUCCCAUGGCCACCUCUGAGCAGAACCUCAAAUGAGCCUUGAGUCUUAGGGCAAUAUCUAAAUCAGCCAAGGGCAUACAGAGAAAAUGUUACUUACCAAGACUGAAAUUAUAGCAUCAAACUUCAGUUAAAAGGAAGGAAGGGGCUGGGAAUUUAGCUCAGUGGUUUUGCUGCCUGCUGCAUAAGCAUGAGGACCCGAGUUUGAUCCCUGGGACCAAAAAAAAAAAAAAAAACAGAAAAAGGAAGGAAGAUGCCACCCUGACUCCAUAACGUAGGAAAGAAAGCACAAGCUCUUCAAGGUUCUGACCCAGGUUCUGGAAGCCUCCCAGCUGGCCCAGGUGGUGGCUGCCGGUAACACAAUCUACCAGGAUACCCAGCCUGGCUGGUGGCCCAGGUGUCCAGCCACAGCGGCAGCCACUUAGGUUUUGCUCAGGAGUCACACAUAAAAGAACCCAGCUAGUGUGACUACACACAUGGCCUUUGGAUGUUGGGGACCACUGGGCUCCUUCCAGAAAGAAACCUAUGUGUGCACCGCCGCCAAAUAACAUCCAUCUGCACUUAGAUCUCCAGGAGGUCAUGCUCGUUAUCUAGUCAGUUCAGAUCAGGCCUUUCACUGCCUGCCUCUGGGGCUUAUUCUGCAGCAGAAUCCCCUCGGCGCAGUGGGCUUGGGUGUCAGGCUGCAGCAAGGGGGAGGGUACACCCUCCUGCAUUUUACAGAACUCUUUGCUGUGUGUUCUCAUCAUGAAGAGGAGUUACUCAGGAGCAUGUGUUGUAUUGAAGCCCUUUGUAUCUCAGGCAGCAUGUGCAGGGUGGGUGUAGACUGCCCCUGAGCAUUUCCUACUUCGCUUGAGGGUAACUGGGACCAGGAGGGGGUAUGUGUGAGGUUUGCCUGUGGUCAGCCUGGCUCUGGGAAAGGGCAAGACUGGGCAGGAUGCAGAGCCCGCCACCCCUCCUGAUGAACACUGCGUGAUCAGUGUUGUCUAAUGAUUUAAAAUGGGAAAAGUACCUAAGGUGUUUGAUGUGCCUUGCUAUAUCCGCCUUAAAGGCUAUUUUUCCUUAGGAAUUCUCUUUGGUUAAAUCUCAAAGACAUUUUAGACCACGUUCUACUCAUUCUUCUAUUUGCUAUUGUCCCACUUGGGUAUUUUUCAUAAACUGUAGACAGAAGCAAAGCCGCUCUCAUUUGUAAACUGAUUUGCUGAUCCUUGCAGAGGAGCUUGUCUUCCAUCUGAGCAGUGCCUGGAUUUUUUCCUCAUAGGCCCACAGAGAAGCUCUCAGCCAGAGCUGGGCAGGAGGGAGGUGGUGGUGCCUCAGCAGGGCCUGGGGGACACUGGGUGGCCCAUCUGGAGGUUAGGAGGCCUUGUGUGAGGCUGGUGGUUCUCAGAAGACCUGGGAAACCUCUGCCCCAGUACUGGUAUCAGGAGAGCGGCCCGUGGCAGGGGCAUCUGGAGGGCAGGGCUGCCCUGUGAAGAGGGGGCUUCUCUUAUUCACUGUGGAUUCCAUGGGUGUCCUACUGCUCCAGGAUCCUAGGACCAAGGCCUCCACGAGUGGGUACAAAAAAUGUGGGAGGCUCUGGGGCUUGGAGGACAUCCGUGGUCAGCUGGUGGGUAUGUCUCAAGGAGAGCUGAGGCCUCCCAGUCUCUCCUCCUACCUGGCUCAUCUUCUUUCAGUCAGAGUAAGUGGGAGAGGCACUGUGCAGCAAAUGUCUUUCAGGAGCGGGUGUGGGGAGCCCUCAAUGUGCAGGAAUGGGGGAUGCUCCAGGUCAUAGGAAGAGGGAACCAACUGGGUCCUCCAAGCCAUGGUGGUUCUUAGGUGACGCGGAGCCAGGGGCAGCUUUUAAGGCAGUGUCCCGUGCAAGUCGGCUCUUUCAGCUGAGAGUGGACAGAGCAGCGGGCAGUUCCAGGGGGCGGCCCUCCGAGGUCUGGUCGCAGUGGCAGAGCCAGCACCACGGGCAGCAGAGCGGUGAGCAGCACUCCCAUCAGCAGCCUGGCCAGACUGAAGUGUUCCAGGUAAAUCGAGCGAGCACCGCCUUCUCCUAGGACAUGCUGCCUAUGCCAGGAGACCCAACCCAGGGGACUGGCAACUAUAACAUCGAGGACUUUGCCGACCUAGGCAUGUUCCCACCCUUUUCUGAGUAGCUGUGGGCAGAGCAAGGCUCCCUGUGCAGGGCCACCACCGCGCUGUGACAUCGACACCAGCUUGCCCUGCUGCAGGACCCCACCACAGUGCCCUCACCCCCUGCGCACCCCCAGGCAUGGCGCUACUCGCUCUCACCCACAGCUCUGGCUUCUCUGUUGCUACUGACCAGGGCCCUGCUGGACGUCUGGGGCUUGGUUGUAUUUAUUGCAUUUUAUCUGUGUGUGCUCAGGAGGUGAGCUCUCUGGCCCUCACACUCAGCUAUGAAUAGUCCCUUGUAAGCGUGCAUGUACACCAGGAGGAGUUCACUUGAAACUCAGAGCAGCAGCGGGCCUGCCUGGGACUCUGGAAUGGCUUCUGCUUGCUUUUCACACCUGCUAGCUGGUGGCCUGGGGUGGGAUAAGAGGCAGGGAGAGUCAGGGCCUUUGUCACACCCUGGAGCCGAGGAGUGUGGGGACUUGGGGAUGCCCACUGCCCUGCUGCUGUGCCUGUGGGCCCAUUGUGACGUGGAUGUUUGUGCUUUGUGUGGUGAGACACAUGUGUGUGUUUUGUGUGUUGUGCCUCGUGUCUGUUGUGUGUGGCCAGAGUGGGUCGUAGAAUCCAGACCAUAAGGAGGGUAAGAACGAGAAUACGCACCCCCUGCCCCUCCCAGUGCUCAGCAGUGCCCUCACCAAGAAUGCUGGCUCAGGGCGGCAGGGAGGGGGACCGACAGGCUGGCCCUUCCACAGUGUCACCAGGAGCCGGGGCUGGGGACCUACUCACUGUGAGGGGUCAGUUAUUUGGUCUGUGCCUCUGCUUCAGAACCAAGCUCCUCCAUGCAAGAGAAGCAGCCUUUCCUCCUCUCAGAGCCCCAGGCAUCAUUUACAUCUCUCACUGACAGCAGGGACAGAAUGCCUGGCCUCCUGGGCCAUGUCCUGGAGUGGACAGGAGCAGCUGUUGUGUGGAGAGGGCACCUGAUGCUCUGUCCCCCAGAGGGACACAGAGAGUGCAGGUCUGUGAGGCAGUGGACUGGGCUCCUCCCACAUAGUCUCUGGGGCCCUGAGUCCUCGGUUUACUCAAAACAGGAGUACUGGCUGACUUCCAGAAGCCUCCGCCUGCUGCCCACUUAGCCCAAGGUCCCUGGCUUACUGUGUUUGGCUUUUAUAGUCCCCUGCAUCCUCCUGCACCUUUCCCAGGUGAGGGCUGUCUCCGUCUCCCUUGUUGGCCUCUUUUCCCACCAGUCACCUUGUUUUCCCACUGCCACCCAUCAGCCCUCUGAUGCCCACGUGGGACAGAGGAGCCCACCCUUGGGAGAGCUGUGGUCCCUCCAAGAGUCCCUGCAGACACUGCACAGCACCGUGUCCUUGCCAAUAGGUCCCAGAGGUCAGGAAAAUGAAUGAAUGGAGGAAGCCCAAGUACAGGGAGGAGUAGGGCCGUUGCUCUGGCCCCCUGGGAGCGCUGCCUGGUGCCCAGGCCUUUUGACCUGUCAAAAGCCAGCCUUCCUCAGCAGGAUGCCCUCCCCUGGGACCUGGCCUUCUGUGGUCCCCAUUCUGAGACCAGCUGAGGGCCAGCCCUGAAGUCUGUAGAAGCAGCUUUUAGUCCUCAUGUAGACAGUGGUAAUCGGGUCCUGGGUGUAGAUGCAUGUGUUUGCUCUGUCCUCAGAGGAGCUCUUGCUGCUGGGGAAAUGGGAGUAACCACGGGCAGCCCCAGCUUGGGCUCCUGGUGCCAACCAGCACCCUCUCAGUGCCUAGCGCUGGGCUUGCUCUGGGCAACAAGCAUAAUCUUUCCCCCCAAAAAAGGCAUAAAAAUAGCUUUAGGAGCAAAGAAGUAUUUCUUGGUGAAAGGGAAAUAGACUUGGUGUGGCCUUUAGCUUGUGAGUUUGGAAGGUUCACUUCUGCCCUCUGCAUGUCAGAGGACAGUUGGGGGCACCAGAGAGCAGCCGACUGUGCUGCUGCCCCUGGUGGUCUGUGCUGGACCCUGAGGGAUCUGUAACCAGCAGAGAAAACCUUGCUCCCACCCACCUCCCAUCUGCUUCUCUGACCUCAGCAGUGAAGGAUUCCUGGUCCUGGGAGGCACGGCAUAAGGAGAGUAGUGAUCACCAACCACCAAGGCCUGACCUCCUCCCUCCCUGUCUUGUCCUGGGAGUUGGGCGUGACCAGAGUGGAGUCUGAUGGGUGGGUAUGAGCCCCAUGUCUUUUCUGUCCCCACUCUGCAUUUCAUUGUGAUUCUCAGAAGCCGUCUUGUAGACAGUAAGAAAGUAGAUGAGGAGUGACAGGGAGAAGCCUAGGACUGGGGCGGAGCUCACCAGGGCAUAAGAACACACCCCUGAACUGGGCUUAGUGACCUGGUUUGGAAAAGAAUCCCCCAUACCCAUCUGGCUGGCCCAGGAGGCCAUGGUGCUGGUGGGCCCUGAUGUCUGCUUGGCCUGCAGCCCGUGCCCAGCCAGGCCCCCUCCCUGCCAGAGACGGGUCAUUGCCAGAUGAGAAAGGGGAGGCAUGGGGCUUCCUGUAGCAGUGAGUUGGUUCCUGUCUCCUGGAUGUUCCCCAGCUUCUCCUCAGGCUGAGGGUCCCACCGUCACUGCCAUCAGCGACAACAUACUGAGGCGCCACCAGGACUGGCCAGUAAUGGUGAUAGUGGCUGGGAAGGUUCUAGAACACGCUGCCUGCAUGUCCCUCUGCUCUGGCUUUGUUGUUAGCUCUGUUCGGGGAGCGAGAGGCCAUCACAGGAGCCACGUUCUCCUUCACUUCCCAACAUAUCAGGUUCAGCCCUCUGGUUACUUCAUUACUAGAGAACAGUGCCGUGGGGAGGGGAGGUGCCAGUCCCUAACAGCUUACACUGGGGUCUGCUGCAUCAGUACAGCGAUUAUGUCCCCAGGUUAGCCACACCUGCCAGUAUCAGUUCUCCAAACAGCUUGGCACAGGAGGAGGCAGGCCCCAGGCAUUGAGGAAGGCUCGCUGUCCCACACACAAGGGCCAGCCAUGAGCUGUGUGCAAACCAUGCCUGCUCACCCAUGAGGGCCAUCUGCUCAUAACAGUUAUCACCUGUCACUUAAACAGGAACCAGCCAGGUGGCCAGUGAUAGAACAUAUGCGCUCUUUGUAUUACUGGAAAGGGGGCUGGUCAGGAUGUUGCUGGUCCGAACCUCUGCUAGGAGUCCAGCUUCCCCAUCCCUACUGGAUCUCAUGCACCAGGAACCAUAAGCACCCUCAUGUCUGCCUGCACCGCUGCCUGGGGUCCAGGGGAACUGGAAGAGGUGCCACACAGGGCAUGCGCACAUUUUCACACCGCACACCUGGGUCUCAUGGCCAGAGCUGCUUUAUGGUCCAGAAACCAGCCAAAGCCCAGGGGCUACCAACUAGCAAAACCCAGGCUUGACAGGCUGGGCAGGAGCAGAGCAGCUUGCUUCAUCUAACAAUCAGUUUUCUUAAAAGAUCUCACAAGCAGGUUUCAGUGAACAACAAGCACUUAAUCAUCUCUCUCUUAACCUUUCUUCUUAUGGAUGUGAACUGUGCUGUGGAUAAGUCAUUGUUUGUAAUUCUUGAAUGUUCUCCAUGACUAACAGUUAUUAAGUCGGUGUGUAUAUGUAUAACUAAUGUAACUGCCUCUGAAAUUUUCAGUAAAAUAAAAAUGACUUUGCUCUGAACCCUAAACCCCCAGGCCGGCUUUAUAAUGGACCUGCUCAUGGAACCUGCCCCUCGGGUUUGGGGACAUCUGGCAUUGCACCCUUCCUUAGGGUCACACUGUGUCAGAGUCACUCAUAGGUAUUAACAGGCCACCUUUGGGACUCUAGUGACCUAGGAUAGAAGAGAAAACACAAUUCCUGAGCUCCUGUGUAAGGCAAGGCUCUUUAGGAAUGUCUUUACAAAUACUUCUUUUUUAAUCAUUAUAGAUCUGUAAUCUGUGGUUACUACUCCUGGGUUAUAUAGGAAACUGGUUAAGUGACUUAUCUGAGAAUGUACCAGAAGGAAGUGGUAGAACCAAGCUCUGAUCUCAGGUCUCACUCAAAAGCCCUUUCCUUUCCAAACACUCAUUACUUUUUUAAAAAAUUCACAGAAUUAAAUUACUAAUAAAUACUAACAAAUUCUAUUUUUCUCUGUUGAAAGAGGACUACUUGAAGACCCUUGGCUUUACUGACUGAUCACAGACAUAAAAUGCACAUAUUUAAAGUGUACAUAGGAGAAAUUGUGUGGCUGUGAAUUGGAUGCAGACAGCUUAGAUGGUACACCAAACAUAUGACCUAUCAAAAAAAGUAAAUUGACAAACUGAACAUAUAAUAUAAAACAUUUACUUCUCAAAAGAUACUUUUAAGAGAAUGAAAACAUAAGCCACUGGCUGGGGAAGAAACAAUUACAAAUCAUAUAUCUAAAGAACACUUAAAAUUUAAUACAACAAACAAUUUAGCACAAAAUAGGCAAAAAAUAUUUGAAAUACACGUUCGAAUUAUGCCACAGAAGAUGUACAGAGGCCAGCUAGCUACAAUGAUACACACCUAUAGUCUCAGCUACUCAGGAGGCUGAGGCAGGAGGAUCACCUGAGCCCAAGACUUUGAGGCUACCCUGAGCGACAUAGCAGGAGUCUAACUCAAAAACAAAACUACAGAGGGCAAAUAAGCACAUGAAAAUAAUGGUCAGUAUUAUUAGUCAUCAGGGAAAUGCCAAGGAAAACUCCAUGAGAUAUUCUAACAUUUGACUAAAAUUUAGCAACUGUCCAGGAUAUGGGAGAAAUAGAACUCUCAUAUGGGCAAAGCAGUACAGCCUCGCCGCUGUACAAACCAUUCAGUGGUUUCUUGUGAUGUUAGGCAUCACUCACCCUGCAACCUGGCUUUCCACAGCUUGUCCCUUCGCAGGAGAGAUGGAACGAAUGUUGACACAAGGACCCUCAGCAAUAUUCAUUGCAGCCUCAGGUGCAAUCACCAGGGAUUAACGUAACCUAAGUGUCCAUAGAUGGGGGACAGAUAUGCAGAUCCUGGCACACCAAAGAACAGUACUCAGCCACAACAGCGAAUAAACUGCUAACAGAAGCAACAACACAAAAGACACAAAAGCUUUAGUGCAGAGCAGAAGCCAGGCACACAGAGCAUGUAAAUGCAUUCUGGAAAGUCCAGCAAAGCCAGGGACCAGCCUGACCACAGGACAGAGGGAAGGACGGGGACAAAGGCUGGGGUGAUGGGAAGGUCCCAUAUUGAUAGGAGCAAGGUAUAUACAGAAGACAAAGGUCACCAAACCAUUCACUCAAGAAGAGCACAUUAAACUACAUUGUACUCAAGUCUUAUCUAAUAAAGUCAGGGUUCAAAUAAUCUCAGCAGAAUUUUUUGUAGAAUGCAUCUAGAUGAUUCCAAAUUUUCUGUGGAAUAAAAAGGAAACACAACAGGCAAUGUAUUUUACUGAAUAAGAUAUAAAGAUGAAGAGAAGAAAAGAGGAAAAAGAACAAGUGUUCCUCCUACCAGAGAGGGAGAAGUUUAAUAAUUGAAAUUGUGGGCUUGGCAUGGAGAUUAGAAACAAGAUCAAUAGAACACAACAAAGUCCCUAGAUAUCCAUACAUAUCAGAUAGGAGUCUUAUUGGGAAGACUUAAUGUUCAUAAUUACGGGGAUCAGAGAGGCUUUCAAUAAACAGUGUUGGGGCCGUGUACACAGGAAAAGAAAUAAUGGUAUGCUUGUCUUAAAAUAUGAAGCACGUGGGGGCUGGGGAUUUAGCUCAGUGGUUGCGCUGCCUACCUUGCAAGCACAAGGACCCAAGUUCAACUCCCCGUACCAAAAAAAAAAAAAAAAUGAAUGAAGCAUGUUUGAAAACUAGACAGUGCUUAUGUUUUUAAUUUAUUAGAGUAAAAAACACAUUGCCAUUAACCCCCCUAAAAAUACUGCCCCUUGGUUCAAACACACUGUCGUUUCUUGCCACUUUCUGAAGCAGUUCUGGAAGUCCUCUUUCAUGUGUGUAUCCUGGCUGUCUCCAUGUCCAAAUCAAUUCAAAACAUUUACCUUUCAUGUUAAUUUUGACUUUGCGGAAGAGCCAAAAGAAUAAGGUGGAUAAGGACAUGCCAUGUUUUUUACAAGCCUGCCUUUCCAUUGGAUGGCACUUGGCAACAGCAUUCACUGCGUGUUUUACCACACCUCAAAAAAACAUGAAUUUCCAGAACUGCUCUGCAAAAGAUAAGAAUAAUGUGAUUAGUGUGUUUGAGUGAAGGGAGUAUUUUGAGGGGGAUUAGUGGCCAUGUGCCCUUUACUGUAAUAAAGUUUUUUAUUUAAACAUUCACCAUAUAUUUCAAUCACUCUUGUGUAGAAAAAAAUAAAUUCUACACAGGUGAAAAUAUCUCAUUGUUAAAAGUAAUGUAUGUAGGACAUUUAAGACAAAAUCUUGGAAAACAUAUUUAUAAAAUCAAGUCAGCAAGGAUGUCUUAAAGCAGGCACAAAGAUGACUAUGAAGUAAAAUAUUGAUAAGCUCAAACUCAAUAAAAAGACACAAAAAUGCAAAUGAAACUCAAUUAACUGGUAGAAAACACUUGCAAUUUAUAUAUCUAACAGAAUAAAUAGUAUUCGGAAUAUAUGAAGAAUUCUCAGAAAUUUUUUUUUUUUACUUUGAGACAGGGUCUCACUGUGUGAUACAGGCUGGGUGUGAGCUCGCCCUGUGGCCCAGGCUGGCCUUGAACUCACAGUGAUCCUCCUGCCUCACCCACCCAAGCCCUGGGAUUAUAGGCAUGUGGCACCGUGCCCAGACCUCACUAAUCAACUCUUUAAAAUAUGCCGCAAUAGAUAGUCAAUUCAUAAAAACUCAAAUAAUGUUAAUUCUGUUAGAAUAACUUAACUUCAUUGAUAAUUAAGGGAGAUGAAAAAUUAAAACAAGAUAACUAUGGCAUUCAGAUUGACUAAGUCUGCAAACAUAGUUGCUAGUGAGGUUAUGGAGGAAUGGGCUCUCCUCCUAGGUGAGGGGAAAUCAGUUGAUUGCUGGGAGUGCACCAGGUGGUAUCAGGAAUGACAAAGCUGCGCAAAUCCUGGGACAGUGAUUGUAACCCCAUGAAACUUCCCACAGGUAUCCAGAGAGACUGAGUUAAUCUUGCCUAUUAACUUGAUAGAUUUGAUGACAUCUGAAUUAGUAAAGUACAAUUCUGGGUGCAUCUGGUAAUGAGUGCAUGACCUUUGGGACUAUAUCUGGUCCCUGGAUCUUUCUUCUCUGGCAUUUGCCCUGUUCUCUCCUUCCUGGCACCAUGAGGUAAGCAGCUAUGCUCUACCACACCCUUCCGCUAUGAUGUUCCUGCCUUGGAGCCAGCCAACCAUGGACUGAUACCUCUGAAACCGUGAGCCAAAUUAAAUCUCUUCUCCCUUAAAUUGGAAUUGUCAAGUGUUUUGUUUCAGCACCAGGAAAGCUAACUAAUACAGAGACAUAUACAAGAAUAUUCAUUGCUCUGUGAGCAAUAGUGAAAAGCAGGAAAGCUAUAUUUAGUAGAGAAAUUAACAAACUGAUUUAGUCAUACAGAGGAACCUAUUAGAGAACUUAAAUGACCUUGAUGCAGAAUUCUAAAAAUAUAACAUUGAAUUGAAAAUGCUGUGCAUAUUUUUAUAACUCAAAGUAUUAAUAUAUUUUGUUUGUGAAUAAAUAGAUAAGUAAUUUUUAAAAGUCCUAGAUGGAUGCACCCAACUCUGAAGGAUGGUUGUCUUUAGAAGAAAGAGGCAGGCAACUGACAUGGCUGAAUUCUUCAAAACAGAUUCAGAGAGGAAGGAGGAGGAGGAGAGAGGAGAAUUGUCAGAAAGUAAAGGGAAUAGAACAAGCAUCUGAAGCAAUUACC
rnacentral:lncRNA from 1 species